GCGAACGCUGGCGGCAGGCCUAACACAUGCAAGUCGAACGGAUCCUUCGGGAUUAGUGGCGGACGGGUGAGUAACACGUGGGAACGUGCCCUUUGGUUCGGAACAACUCAGGGAAACUUGAGCUAAUACCGGAUGUGCCCUUCGGGGGAAAGAUUUAUCGCCAUUGGAGCGGCCCGCGUCUGAUUAGCUAGUUGGUGAGGUAACGGCCCACCAAGGCGACGAUCAGUAGCUGGUCUGAGAGGAUGAUCAGCCACACUGGGACUGAGACACGGCCCAGACUCCUACGGGAGGCAGCAGUGGGGAAUCUUGCGCAAUGGGCGAAAGCCUGACGCAGCCAUGCCGCGUGAAUGAUGAAGGUCUUAGGAUUGUAAAAUUCUUUCAGCGGGGACGAUAAUGACGGUACCCGCAGAAGAAGCUCCGGCUAACUUCGUG
rnacentral:rRNA from 1 species